GAGUAUAUGUUUUUUGUUAUUCUGUUUUAGGUUGUGUUGCGUUUUUAUCUAUUAACCGAACUGCGAAAUACGAAUAUCCUUUGCUUUUUAGAGAUCACGUAUACCGCAACUUGAGUGAAAAUGGCAGAGAAAUAUUCUACGCUUUGAACAUACAUCCUUCGUGUGUCGAAAAGAAAGGCCAGUGCAUACGGCGUGCUCAAUGUGUAGAGAAGAAAAUGUUUUACAUUUCUCGGGCGUGCUACCGCCGAGACUUGGUUUGUUGCUAUGAUGACACAAUUAGAUUCCCAACGGUCGAAGGACGCACUUCAACCACGGUAGCUGCCACCAAACUUUGAGAUAAUCAAAUUUAAAUUGGUUCUAA